UCUGUAUCCUUAUCUCAAUAUAAAACGUUCAUAUCUCCAGUUUUGAUAUUAGACCUCUAAGUUCCAUACAUAUAUGUUGUUCAUUAAGGAAGAUUUCUGAAGAAUAACUAUGUCAAUAUUGAGUUAAACAGCACUGAUUGGUUUGUUUGUUGGUAUUACUUAUGGAGUGGGUGACAGAAUGAUUUAUGACAUCUCUGCACAGGCAAAGUGUACUGAGAUCACAAGAGGUCCUACGAGGGACUGCAGAUGGCCCGCAGGGAUGAAUAUGCAAGUGGAUCAGGUCGCAGCUGGAGGGAAGAUUGCUGCAUACAAAAUUCGAUGGUUUAGUGGUGCCUGGAGUAACUGGUACGUCCCAGGGUACAACGACAUGGACUGGAAAAUCAACCUUAACAACAUAAGAUGUUCAAUGCCGUACAAAGCCAACAGUCUAAGACGGGUGUGGUCAUACUUCUACGACCACACACACAAAUUUAUAGUUUGCAAGGCUUAGAAAUGGUGGACAAAAGAUCCAUUUAAUCAUAAUUUAAGAUGUAAUAUAUUAAUUUUUGUUAUUCAUUUACAUAACCGGUCGUGUUUUUUGUCAUAUCUGUAUUCAGUCUGUAGACAGCUCAUCCUUGCCCACACAACUCUAAGCUCAACUAAUGUAACAAUGCGUGUAAGAAAUAAAAAAAAAGCUUUACAAUUGUC